ensembl:snRNA U2 U2 spliceosomal RNA
GUUGCUAAUCGCUGAUCGUUGUCUGAGGUCAAGUUUAACAUCUGUUCUUAUCAGUUAAAUAUCUUUUACACCCUUGACUUGAAGAUGUCAUAGUAAACAGAUUUUUGGGACCAAAAGAUGGGUUAGAACUUUUUCUAUCUGUCCUAUGCAUCUGCCUGUUAUUGCAGUAUCUCCAGAAGCAGCACACCAA